GAUGAACGCUCGCUACAGGCUUAACACAUGCAAGUCGAGGGGAAACGACAUCGAAAGCUUGCUUUUGAUGGGCGUCGACCGGCGCACGGGUGAGUAACGCGUAUCCAACCUGCCCAUCACUUGGGAAUAACCUUGCGAAAGUAAGACUAAUACCCAAUGAUAUCCCACGAAGGCAUCGGAAUGGGAUUAAAGAUUUAUCGGUGAUGGAUGGGGAUGCGUCUGAUUAGCUUGUUGGCGGGGUAACGGCCCACCAAGGCAACGAUCAGUAGGGGUUCUGAGAGGAAGGUCCCCCACAGUGGAACUGGGACACGGGCCAAACUCCUACGGGAGGCAGCAGUGAGGAAUAUUGGUCAAUGGGCGAGAGCCUGAACCAGCCAAGUAGCGUGCAGGAAGACGGCCCUAUGGGUUGUAAACUGCUUUUAUAAGGGAAUAAAGUGGGUCACGUGUGACUUUUUGCAUGUACCUUAUGAAUAAGGACCGGCUAAUUCCGUG
rnacentral:rRNA from 1 species